CCACUGGCCUGGCAAGAGAGGCAAUGAUCAUGAGGUGGUUUUCCCAAGGUGAGGCUCAUCCAUUGCACUAUGGGUGUGUGCUAACCCCUGUGAUUUCCCCAAAUGCGGCUAACUUGACUGCUCAAUUUGUGUUAGAUAGUUUUUAAAGUCAGGUGGAAACGUU